rnacentral:rRNA from 1 species
AGUGAACGCUGGCGGUAGGCCUAACACAUGCAAGUCGAACGGCAGCACAGUAAGAGCUUGCUCUUACGGGUGGCGAGUGGCGGACGGGUGAGGAAUAUAUCGGAAUCUACUUUUUCGUGGGGCAUAACGUAGGGAAACUUACGCUAAUAUCGCAUAUGACCUACGGGUGAAAGCAGUGGAUCUUCGCACCUUGUGGGAUUGAAUGAGCCGCUGUCGGAGUAGCUAGAUGGCGGGGUAAUGGCCCACCAAGGCGACGAUCCGUAGCUGGUGUGAGAGGAUGGUCGGCGACACGAGAGCUGAGACGCGGUCAAGACGACUGAGGGAGGCAGCAGAGGGGAAUAUGGGGCAAUGGGGGCGAGCAUGAUCCAGCGAGACCGAGUGGGUGAAGAAGGCGUUCGGGUUGUAAAGACCUUUUGUGGGGAAAGAAAAGCAGCAGGUUGAUACGCAGCGGUUGUGACGGUACCGAAUGAAGAAGCACCGGCUAACUACGUG